GCGAACGCUGGCGGCAGGCCUAACACAUGCAAGUCGAACGAACUCUUCGGAGUUAGUGGCGGACGGGUGAGUAACACGUGGGAACGUGCCUUUUGGUUCGGAAUAACUCAGGGAAACUUGUGCUAAUACCGAAUGUGCCCUUCGGGGGAAAGAUUUAUCGCCAUUAGAGCGGCCCGCGUCUGAUUAGCUAGUUGGUGAGGUAACGGCUCACCAAGGCGACGAUCAGUAGCUGGUCUGAGAGGAUGACCAGCCACACUGGGACUGAGACACGGCCCAGACUCCUACGGGAGGCAGCAGUGGGGAAUCUUGCGCACUGGGCGAAAGCCUGACGCAGCCAUGCCGCGUGAAUGAUGAAGGUCUUAGGAUUGUAAAAUUCUUUCACCGGGGACGAUAAUGACGGUACCCGGAGAAGAAGCCCCGGCUAACUUCGUG
rnacentral:rRNA from 1 species